rnacentral:rRNA from 1 species
CCUACGGGUGGCAGCAGUGGGGAAUAUUGCACAAUGGGGGAAACCCUGAUGCAGCGACGCCGCGUGAGUGAAGAAGUAAUUCGUUAUGGAAAGCUCUAACAGCAGGGAAGAAAAUGACGGUACCUGAGUAAGAAGCCCCGGCUAACUACGUGCCAGCAUCCGCGGUAAUACGUAGGGGGCAAGCGUUAUCAGGAUUUAAGGGGUGUAAAGGGAGCGUAGCCGGCAGGGCAAGUCUGGAGUGAAAGGCGGGGGCUCAACCCCCGGACUGCUCUGGAAACUGUACGGCUGGAGUGCAGGAGAGUUAACUGGAAUUCCUAUUGUAGCGUUGAAAUGCGUAGUUAUUAGGAGGAACACCAGUGGCGACGGCGGCUUACUGGACUGUACCUGUCGUUGCGGCUCGAAAGCGUGGGGAGCAAACAGGAUUAGAUACCCCGGUAGUC